GCAAGUCGAGCGCACUCUUUUGAGUGAGCGGCAAACGGGUGAGUAACGCGUGGGAAUCUACCCAUCUCUACGGAAUAACACAGAGAAAUUUGUGCUAAUACCGUAUACGUCCUAUUGGAGAAAGAUUUAUCGGAGAUGGAUGAGCCCGCGUUGGAUUAGCUAGUUGGUGAGGUAACGGCUCACCAAGGCGACGAUCCAUAGCUGGUCUGAGAGGAUGAUCAGCCACACUGGGACUGAGACACGGCCCAGACUCCUACGGGAGGCAGCAGUGGGGAAUAUUGGACAAUGGGGGCAACCCUGAUCCAGCCAUGCCGCGUGAGUGAUGAAG
rnacentral:rRNA from 1 species